GAAUUUAUAAUGCAUAUUUCAAUAUAUUUAUUUUAGUGAUGAUUUAUGAAUUAUUACCAUAUUUUAAGAAGUUUAACAAAAAUAUAAAUCAACAUUAAAUAUAAUGUAUUAGAUAUUGUCAUAUUCUAUAAAUUGUACCAAAAAUAUAUGUCAGUAAUAAAUGUGAUUGUCGAUGUCAUAUUAACUAUAAGGCAUGUCAUCAAUCUUGUUAGCCAUGACAUCAUUUUUUUUUGUAAAAAUGAUUGUAGAUAGGACACGUGGCAAAAUCACUUCGCAAAUAUAGUCUACGGAUUAUCCUCCAUCAAAAACUCAUUGACUAUUUUCUUAAUUUUUUUUUGUUUUUUUGUUUCUUACUAUAAUCAGCUAAUUAACUCACAUAAUUAUAACUUUAACUGUGUCUUAACUGUAUUUGUGUUUUUACCGAAAAUCCAACACCGACUCUGGUCUCACUCACUAAACAGAUAUAGAAACACACGACGUCAAAAGACGUCGUCUUCUUCUUCAACGUGUCUUUCUCUCUCUAGUCUUCUUCUCCAAGGAAUAAGCAUGGGGGAGAUGACGAUAGUGAAGCACGAUUCACCAUUCCCAGCAGGUAAAACCAGAAUCUGGUUUAUUCCUUCGUAAAGAAAAAGAGGUAGGUGCUAGGAUUUGAUACAUGUUAUCGAAUAUGGUUUUUCUAAACGUUUAGCUAAAAUUUCGACAGUUUCCAUUAGAGUUGCCAGAUUAUAGAAAGCAGUCGGCCAAACAUUUCAUUCGCUUAUCUAAUCUAUUAAUUUAGAGUCAUAUUUUUUAUCUACUAUUAAGGAUUGUCAUUUAAAUUUUGGACUCAUUCCGGAACCUAACACUUAUAUGACACGCUCCUUAUUAAACUUGCUUAAUAUCAACCGUAUUAUUUAAUAUAAACGAGUCUCACAUUAAACUAUACCAUACUUCGAUUAUUUAUUGAAUAGAAUAAUACAAAUAUCAAAUACUCUUAUACUAUCGUUCGUUUGACUUUGCUUCAAUACUAACUAAAACUGACAUUACUUAAUAUACAUCACAUGUAAUAUAAGUGCAAAGAGAAGUUAUUGCUUAUCAUAAAAUGUUUAGUCGCUACAUUUUAUUGUCUCACACGUUCACCAGUUAUGUAACUGUAGAGAAGUUAGUGCUUCAAUUAUAUUUGUUUCUCUUCUGUACACAACCUUUACCUACAACACACCAAAAACCUGAUCAAUUCAUAUUUCUCAUACUAAACAUUCUAACAAUCUCUAUACUUACGUGAGGUUUGAAUAUGACUUUUAUUAUAAGUCUAUCAAAUGGCAUAUAAUCCAAAAUCACUUAUUCCUCUCUUAAGCUUACAUUAUCACAUUAUCUAACCUGCUAUUAUAAACACAACAUAGUAAACAAAUAAGUUUGAAUGUCAUAUUCAAAUCAUGUAAGUUUAGAUCCGAUUGACACAUUACAUUACAAACGUUUUCUCAUAUUUUCUACCUAACACAGUACAAUUCUUUAUAUUACAUACGUAUCUAAUAUAAAUUAUAGUCAUUCAUUUAAAUAAAAAUAAGUUGAGUUUAGUAAAAAAAUGGUACAUAUAUAUAAUAGUGUUGUGUUAUAAUAGUGUACUAGAUCUCGACCCGCGCAACCGCGCAGGUGUUUGUUUUCAUUUAUUUUUAUAUAAAAAUUUUGUUUUCAAUUCUAAAUUAGUAUUAUAAUGUAUAUGAGGUGUGUAUAUCACUUUUUAAAACAUAAUAAUUUUACCAUAUUUUUUUAUUGUGUCCAUAAUCCUGAAGGAAUUGUAAUUGUGUAGUUUCUUUUAUAUAUUCUGCUACUAUAACAUAAAAUACUCAAGGAGUUGUAAUCCUCAAGCAAGUUUUUUUGAAAAAAUCGUAUCUAUUGAGAUAUUUUGAGAGUAUACUUGCUUUUCAAGUUAAAAGAAAUUACGACUACUUAGAUUUUAUGAUUAUAGUUGCUUUUCAAGAAAUAAAUAUUCUUUAAUGUUGGUUAUCCAAAACAGAAUAGUGGUCGAGAUUUUAGUGGUUAAGUACAUUCUAUAAGUUGCAGAUUACAAUUCUAUUUAUUGGAAUAUAAUUAAUGAUAGUUAUUCAGAACAAAAUUUUAGGAAUAUUGUUAGGCAUAAUAAUAAUAUGAUUAGAGAUUAUAUGUAACAUGACUUUAUAAGAAUAGAUUUAUUAGAUCCAUUUUUAAAAAAAUCACACAUGAAUCAAGGUUGUGACUUCUUGCUCAGUAUGCUUUGUUGCUGCCCCAAGCUUUGAAGAUUUCACCACCCAUCUCAAGUCUGUAGAACAUGAAUUUCGUGAAUGGGACAGGCAUGCUAGUAAAUACUCCCUUGAUCGUACUAACCUUAAUAACUUGCCGUUUGGUCGAUCACAGGAGUUGGACUUGCUGCUUAGAUGUCAAGAGAUUCUUAGUCAAAAGGGCCGGCGAGGUGGUGGUGGUGGCUUUAGGCCUCAAUUCAGAUCUAACAGUCAAUCCAAAGCAAGUUGACUCUUCUUUUCCUUUUACAUUCCAACAUAUAUAGCAUGUUUUUUUUUUUUUUUUUUGGAUUUACUGACUUGAGAGUUUCGCUCUCUAAAGUAUUGAAGGAACACAUCUGAAGAUGAAGAAGCAAGGACGGUGUUGCUAUUUUCACAUGUUUUUAUCUGUUUUUUGAAUGUAAUAAGUAAAACUACUAUGACAUAUUGCCAAACGAACAAAUAUUGUGCAUCUUUCGAAUUGAGAUGGACCUACGUGUCAGUCAGGUGGCCGUACGUGUCGCGCGUCUCCCACGACGGCUUCGCUUUUAUUUGACAGGUCCCAUAGUUUUCAAACUAUUCAGUUUCGCACC